UACGUAGGGGGCGAGCGUUGUCCGGAUUUAUUGGGCGUAAAGAGCGUGUAGGCGGCCAGGUAGGUCCGUUGUGAAAACUCGAGGCUCAACCUCGAGACGUCGAUGGAAACCAUCUGGCUAGAGUCCGGAAGAGGAGAGUGGAAUUCCUGGUGUAGCGGUGAAAUGCGCAGAUAUCAGGAAGAACACCUAUGGCGAAGGCAGAUCUCUGGGCCGUAACUGACGCUGAGGAGCGAAAGCAUGGGGAGCGAACAGG
rnacentral:rRNA from 1 species